GGCAGUGCCCAUCUCCUCAGCGCUCGCUGGCGGCCAUUUCCCCAGCAGGGCAGUGCCCAUCUCCUCAGGGCCUGCUGGCGGCCAUUUCCCCACAGUGCCGUUAGCAUCCAUCUCCUCAACACGGCCGCGCCCAUUUCAGCAGGGCCCUGGCAGCCACCUCCUCGGCUGGCGGCUGUUGCACCUCUUCAGCGGGGCACCAGCGCCCAUCCCCUCAGCAGAGCCACCUGCCUGUAGCGCCAGGCGCCUCCCGAAAACCCCUUGGGGGGGUUUGAUGGGGGACGUGUGAGGUGCGGGGCGCGUCUGCCCCCUGUGAGCCGCCAGCAGCUGGAGCAAAACUCGGGCCGGCAGCAGCGGGGCCGGGCGAGCGAGCGGCCCGGCGCUCCCCGUCAGGGGGUGCUCGAGGCUCUGCCCCCGAGGGAGGCCGCGGGGGCGGUCAGUCAUAGCGCCCCUUCCCCGCGUGACGGGAGCUGAGCCCCUGGCAGUGCUCCCAGGCCCCAAGGAGCAAAUAAGGCGGCAGAGGGUGCAGGCGGGCAGCUCCGGGUUAGGAAGGGCCCGGCGCACCUGGAACCAUCCUCAGUGUGGAAGAUGCAGCUGCGGGGGCUGUGUUAGGAGCUCAACGCAGUGCUGCUGCUGUGGUGACUAAAGGGACUGUGCUGCCUGCUCCAAGCAGGGUUCUGUCACUGCUCUCUGCCUCAUAAUGGUGGCAUGGACUGGGGAAAAGCCCAGCAGCUGUGAUGAACGUGCAAAGAAGAGGCUUUAGCACAACAGCACUUUGUCCAACCACAGACAUAAGCCUGGGCCUUGCUGCAGGCCCUUGGGCGCUGCACGGUGCUGUGCAGAGACGUGACAGCCUUGCUCAAGUCCUGCAGCAUGGCGGGAGGCCUGCAGCUUUGCAUCCGAACGUGGCCUUCAUCCUCCAUUACCCCCGUGCUGCAAGCAGUCAGCUGAAACAGGACAGGUGCUGGUGCCUCCUUGAAAGCUUGAUGGCCAACACAUGGCUUUCUGAGGAAUGGAAAAAGAUAAAGCUGAAGGUGGCCAGAAGUCUGCAGGCCAGGACGAAGAGAUUAUUGCCAGUAUGUCACUGGCUGGAACAGAGGAGCCAAAGAUCAUAUGUAAUCUCCAUUUCUCCACAACUACUAACGAAGUUGAGAACACGAGGACAAUGAAACUGUCCUGAGGCUAUCUACACAAGUCAUACAGGGAUAGCAGGCCAGCAGACAGACACCUGAGCUACUGAAGUGACACUCAGAGGUAAGUGCUGAGCGUCUGUCCAGGUGCGGAGCUGACACAGGCUGCCUCUCUGUUCAACACAUUUCUCAAUGGCACUUUCAUUCCUCUAUAUCCCUUUUUUGCUCGCCCGAGGAGAGCCAUCUCUGUGCUCAACUCCUGUCAGAAAAGAUGAGCUAUACUGCUGAUUAUUUGCUGCUGGGAAAGUCAUUCUAGUGAACUGUAAGAGAAAUCAUCUGCCCAGGAGUGCUGUCGACUGCAGAAAUGCACAGAUCUAAAAUAAAGACCCCCACACACCUUGCUGGUUUGGGACU
rnacentral:lncRNA from 1 species